rnacentral:rRNA from 1 species
CCCUCGCCGGAAGACCAAGGGUUCCUGUCCAACGUUAAUCGGGGCAGGGUAAGUCGACCCCUAAGGCGAGGCCGAAAGGCGUAGUCGAUGGGAAACGGGUUAAUAUUCCCGUACUUCUUACAAUUGCGAUGGGGGGACGGAGAAGGCUAGGUGGGCCUGGCGACGGUUGUCCAGGUUCAAGUGCGUAGGCUUGAGAGUUAGGUAAAUCCGGCUCUCUUUAAGGCUGAGACACGAUGUCGAGCACCCAAGGGUGUGAAGUCAUUGAUGCCAUGCUUCCAGGAAAAGCCUCUAAGCUUCAGAUUGUAAGGAAUCGUACCCCAAACCGACACAGGUGGUCGGGUAGAGAAUACCAAGGCGCUUGAGAGAACUCGGGUGAAGGAACUAGGCAAAAUGGUACCGUAACUUCGGGAGAAGGUACGCUCUUGACGGUGAAGUCCCUUGCGGAUGGAGCUAUUAGGAGUCGCAGAUACCAGGUGGCUGCAACUGUUUAUUAAAAACACAGCACUGUGCAAAAUCGUAAGAUGACGUAUACGGUGUGACGCCUGCCCGGUGCCGGAAGGUUAAUUGAUGGGGUUAGACUUUUGUCGAAGCUCUUGAUCGAAGCCCCGGUAAACGGCGGCCGUAACUAUAACGGUCCUAAGGUAGCGAAAUUCCUUGUCGGGUAAGUUCCGACCUGCACGAAUGGCGUAAUGAUGGCCACGCUGUCUCCACCCGAGACUCAGUGAAAUUGAAAUCGCUGUGAAGAUGCAGUGUACCCGCGGCUAGACGGAAAGACCCCGUGAACCUUUACUACAGCUUGGCACUGAACAUUGAACCUACAUGUGUAGGAUAGGUGGGAGGCUUUGAAGCGCAGUCGCUAGAUUGCGUGGAGCCGUCCUUGAAAUACCACCCUUGUAGCUUUGAUGUUCUAACUUGGCCCCAUUAUCUGGGGUGAGGACAGUGCCUGGUGGGUAGUUUGACUGGGGCGGUCUCCUCCCAAAGAGUAACGGAGGAGCACGAAGGUGGGCUAAUCACGGUUGGACAUCGUGAGGUUAGUGCAAUGGCAUAAGCCCGCUUGACUGCGAGAAUGACAAUUCGAGCAGGUGCGAAAGCAGGUCAUAGUGAUCCGGUGGUUCUGAAUGGAAGGGCCAUCGCUCAACGGAUAAAAGGUACUCCGGGGAUAACAGGCUGAUACCGCCCAAGAGUUCAUAUCGACGGCGGUGUUUGGCACCUCGAUGUCGGCUCAUCACAUCCUGGGGCUGAAGUCGGUCCCAAGGGUAUGGCUGUUCGCCAUUUAAAGUGGUACGCGAGCUGGGUUUAGAACGUCGUGAGACAGUUCGGUCCCUAUCUGCCGUGGGCGUUGGAAGAUUGAAGGGGGCUGCUCCUAGUACGAGAGGACCGGAGUGGACGAACCUCUGGUGUUCGGGUUGUCAUGCCAAUGGCAUUGCCCGGUAGCUAAGUUCGGAAUCGAUAACCGCUGAAAGCAUCUAAGCGGGAAGCGAGCCCUGAGAUGAGUCUUCCCUGACCCCUUGAGGGUCCUAAAGGGUUGU